rnacentral:tRNA from 1 species
GACAAGAUGGCCGAGUGGUUAAGGCGUACCGUUCAAGCUGUCACGUGAACACUUGGAAAUUCCUCAUUUUAAGAAUUUCCAUGAUCCGGUAUGGGGAAACCCGCGUGAGUUCGAGUCUCGCUCUUGUCA